GCUAGGCAUGGUGAUGUGUGCCUGUAGUCCCAGCUACCUGUGAGGCUGAGGCAGGAGGAUUGCUUAAGACCAGGAAUUUAAGGCUGUAGUGCGCCAUGAUCAUGCCUGUGAAUAGCCACUGCAUUCCAGCCUGGGCAACAUAGCAAGACCCUGUCUCUU
rnacentral:SRP_RNA from 1 species